rnacentral:rRNA from 1 species
AACGAACGCUGGCGGCAUGCCUAACACAUGCCAGUCGAACGAGACCUUCGGGUCUAGUGGCGCACGGGUGGGUAACGCGUGGGAACCUGCCCUUAGGUUCGGAAUAACUCCCCGAAAGGGAUGCUCAUACCGGAUAAUGUCUUCGGACCAAAGAUUUAUCGCCUUUGGAUGGGCCCGCGUUAGAUUCGCUAGUUGGUAGGGUAAAAGCCUACCAAGGCGACGUUCCAUAGCUGGUCUGAGAGGAUGAUCAGCCACACUGGGACUGAGACACGGACCAGACCCCUACGGGAGGCAGCAGUGGGGAAUAUUGGACAAUGGGCGAAAGUCUGAUCCAGCAAUGCCGGGUGAGUGAUGAAGGCCUUAGGGUUGUAAAGCUCUUUUAGCCGGGAUGAGAAUGACAGUACCGGGAGAAUAAGCACCGGCUAACUCCGUG